UGGUGUAUGACCACGCCAAUUCUCUUGGA
rnacentral:piRNA from 1 species